GAUGAACGCUGGCGGCGUGCCUAAUACAUGCAAGUCGAGCGAAGCGGGGACGGGUGAGUAACAUGUGGAUAACCUCCUAUAAGACUGGGAUAACUUCGGGAAAGCGGAGCUAAACCGGAAAAUUAUAGAUGGAUCCGCGGUGCAUUAGCGGGUUGGUAAGCUAACGGCUUACAAAGGCAACGAUGCAUAGCCGACCUGAGAGGGUGAUCGGCCACACUGGAACUGAGACACGGUCCAGACUACUACGGGAGGCAGCAGUGGGGAAUCUUCCGCAAUGGGCGAAAGCCUGACGGAGCAACGCCGCGUGAGUGAUGAAGGUCUUCGGAUCGUAAAACUCUGUUAUUAGGGAAGCGGUACCUAAUCAGAAAGCCACGGCUAACUACGUGCCAGCAGCCGCGGUAAUUC
rnacentral:rRNA from 1 species